rnacentral:rRNA from 1 species
GAGUUUGAUCAUGGCUCAGAUUGAACGCUGGCGGCAUGCUUUACACAUGCAAGUCGAACGGCAGCGGGUCCUUCGGGAUGCCGGCGAGUGGCGAACGGGUGAGUAAUGCAUCGGAACGUACCCAGUCGUGGGGGAUAACUACUCGAAAGAGUGGCUAAUACCGCAUACGACCUGAGGGUGAAGGCGGGGGACCGCAAGGCCUCGCGCGAUUGGAGCGGCCGAUGUCGGAUUGGCUAGUUGGUGGGGUAAAGGCUUACCAAGGCGACGAUCCGUAGCUGGUCUGAGAGGACGACCAGCCACACUGGGACUGAGACACGGCCCAGACUCCUACGGGAGGCAGCAGUGGGGAAUUUUGGACAAUGGGCGCAAGCCUGAUCCAGCCAUGCCGCGUGCGGGAAGAAGGCCUUCGGGUUGUAAACCGCUUUUGUCAGGGAAGAAAAGCUCUGGGCUAAUACCUCGGGGUGAUGACGGUACCUGAAGAAUAAGCACCGGCUAACUACGUGCCAGCAGCCGCGGUAAUACGUAGGGUGGGAGCGUUAAUCGGAAUUACUGGGCGUAAAGCGUGCGCAGGCGGUUGUGCAAGACAGAUGUGAAAUCCCCGGGCUUAACCUGAGAACUGCAUUUGUGACUGCACGGCUAGAGUGUGGCAGAGGGGGAUGGAAUUCCGCGUGUAGCAGUGAAAUGCGUAGAUAUGCGGAGGAACACCGAUGGCGAACGCAAUCCCCUGAGCCUGCACUGACGCUCAUGCACGAAAGCGUGCGGAGCAAACAGGAUUAGAUACCCUGCUAGUCCACGCCCUAAACGAUGUCAACUGGUUGUUGGGGAUUCAUUUCCUCAGUAACGAAGCUAACGCGUGAAGUUGACCGCCCUGAGGAGUACGGCCGCAAGGUUGAAACUCACAGGAAUUGACGGGGACCCG